UGCACGCAGGGAAUUAUAGUCUCUUCUGGGACAAAACUUCAAGGAGCCUGAGCGGACAGGUGGUGUCUCGGAAACUACAAUCCUAGAAGGCUUCGCGGCUCGAAGGGCUUGGUGUUGUUUUGGAGGCCGGUGGUGAAUGUUUAGGCCUGAGUCUAUUUCGCAAUCGGGUUGAAAGGAAAGGCCGGAAUCUGCUGCUUCGAGCUAGGUCACCUUUAGUGUGAAGAACAAUGACAGCUAAAGAAAUCCUGCAGUUAGACCUCUACUCGUUGCUGGGGAUCAGCGAAGAUGCUACUGGUAAAGAGAUUAAGAAAGCAUACAGACAGAAGGCUUUGAAAUGCCAUCCAGACAAGAACCCAGAUAAUCCCAAAGCAGUGGAAUUGUUCCAUCAAUUAUCCCAGGCUCUGGAAGUUCUGACAGAUGCAGCUGCAAAGGCAGCCUACGAUAAAAUCAGAAAAGCGAAAAAGCAGGCAGCAGAGAGGAACCAAAAACUCGACAGCAAGAGAAAAAAAGUAAAGCUUGAUUUGGAGGCUCGUGAAAGAGAAGCCCAGCUCAAUGAAGAAGAGGAAAUUAAGAUUGCAAAGAAUUUAGAUGAAGUGAUUGCCAGGCUAAGGGAAGAAGGCUCCAGACAUUUAGAGGAACAGCAGAGGCUUGUCAGAGAACAAAUAAUGCUGGAGAGGGAGCAGAGACUGCGAGGAUCUGAUGUCCGAACAGAUUCUGUAAACAGCUCAACCCCUAAACUGAAACUGAAAUGGAAGUGUAAGAAGGAUGACGAAACAAAUGGUGGCUACUCUCAUGAAUACCUCCUGUCAAUUUUGAAGAAGUAUGGUGAGGUUUUGAACUUGCUCAUAUCCAGUAAAAAGAAAGGCUCCGCUAUCGUGGAAUUCUCCUCAAUCAAGACUGCUGAACUUGCUUUUAAAAAUGAGACUGGGCUAACGAGUAACCCAUUAAAGAUCUCCUGGUUGGAAGGAUCACCUCCUCCAAAUACCACAAGCAACUCUGCAUCAUCAUCUUUGGAAUCAAGCACAUCUAAUCUGUUCCAGAAAUACAUUUGCUGUGUUCAUCGUUUCGAGGAAGAAUAAAAAUAGUGUUUCUGGAAGAUGUUCAAAGCACUUUCAAGUUUGAGUGCUGGCCCAGCUGAGUCUGUAGCUUUCCCACUGACAAAUGCCUGACCUGCCUUUCAACAAGGCAUGUCAAGCCCACCUGCAAAAGUGCUUCCUCUGCACUGCCGCAAGAAAGUGUAAAGGCUAAAGUCUUUGGGUACAGAAUAUCAGCUCUCUAUUACCCAGGAUACAGUGCGCACAGAGCGAGAUUAUGAAAGUCUUGUGAUGAUGCGGAUGCGACAGGCAGCAGAACGGCAGCGGCUCAUCAAACAACUUCAAGAAGAUGAUUCUUAAACUUGGCACUGGCGAAUGCUUCAGACUCCUUUCUGUUUCCCGCAAACUGAAAUAAACUGCUCUUUAUUUUUA